UAGGGGCGAAGCUGCAUCCGUCGUCCUAUUGGCUGGUGCGGGCGACAACAUAGGUGGGCGGGAUAAGUUCACUGCGGUGCAGGCAUGGCGCAGCAAGACGUGGAGGGCGAGCUGCUGGUCCGGAGCUACUGGUGGUGUCCAUGGGGAGCUGAUGUCGGUGUCUUGCAGCGAUUACCUCCGCGAACUCCUUCUUCUAGCCACCAUGUCCGCAACCCGCUGCUGCCAGCCACCUCAACGACAUGCUUCUGCUCGAUCAGCUCGGGUCAUUUCUAGAACUGCUAGAUGCAUUAUUCAGCAAGCCGCGCUCGCUUGGCUGGAUUUCACCGCGGAUCAAGGACUGCCUGGAUGCAUUAGCAAGCAAAGAUACACAUCAGAAACAACAAGGACAAGGCUGGAUGUCUGAAUCAUUUUGGUGCCGAGAUAAAGGAGCCUUCACGGCUUGAGGCUCUAUAGCAGGAAGGUGUUGGCUAUUCCUAUUAAGGAGAAUGAACGCCAACUAGUUAUUGAGAACGCCACAAAUUUCUGGCAACAGAUAAGUAAGCAG